GACGAACGCUGGCGGCGUGCUUAACACAUGCAAGUCGAACGGAAAGGCCCUGCCGUUGUGGGGUGCUCGAGUGGCGAACGGGUGAGUAACCCGUGAGUAACCUGCGCUUGACUUUGGGAUAACUUCAGGAGACUUGGGAUAAUACCGGAUAGGAGGUCCUGCUGCAUGGUGGGGGUUGGAAAGUUUCGGCGGUUGGGGAUGGACUCGCGGCUUAUCAGCUUGUUGGUGGGGUAGUGGCUUACCAAGGCAUUGACGGGUAGCCGGCAUGAGAGGGGGACCGGGCCCCAUGGGCCUGAGAGAGGGCCCAGAGGCCAACGUGGGGCAGUAGGGGGAAACCUUGCACAAUAGGGCCGAGUCUGAGGCAGCAACCCCCCGUGUGUAAUCACGGUUUUGUGGGAGUAAACCGCUGUCGCCUGUGACGGAGCGCUAGUGACGGUAAUGGGUGAAGAAGCACCGGCUAACUACGUG
rnacentral:rRNA from 1 species